rnacentral:rRNA from 1 species
UACGAAGGGAGCUAGCGUUGUUCGGAAUCACUGGGCGUAAAGCGCACGUAGGCGGCUGUGUCAGUCAGGUGUGAAAUCCCGGAGCUCAACUUCGGAACUGCCUUUGAUACAGCACGUCUUGAGUCCGAUAGAGGUGGGUGAAAUUCCUAGUGUAGAGGUGAAAUUCGUAGAUAUUAGGAAGAACACCGGUGGCGAAGGCGGCCCACUGGAUCGGUACUGACGCUGAGGUGCGAAAGCGUGGGGAGCAAACAGG